rnacentral:rRNA from 1 species
UCUUCAGCCAUGCCACCCUGACUGCACCCCACCUCAUCUAAUCUCAGAGGCUAAGCAGGGGUAGGCCUGGCUAGGACUUGGAUGGAAAGAAACAUAGGACUUUGGGACCCUGCAAGAG